AUCAACGACCUCAGAGCAGGC
rnacentral:rRNA from 1 species